rnacentral:rRNA from 1 species
UACGUAGGGUGCGAGCGUUAAUCGGAAUUACUGGGCGUAAAGCGUGCGCAGGCGGUUUUGUAAGGCAGAUGUGAAAUCCCCGGGCUUAACCUGGGAAUGGCAUUUGGGACUGCAAGGCUUGAGUUUGGCAGAGGAGACUGGAAUUCCUGGUGUAGCAGUGAAAUGCGUAGAUAUCAGGAGGAAUACCGAUGGCGAAGGCAGGUCUCUGGGCUAGAACUGACGCUCAUGCACGAAAGCGUGGGGAGCAAACAGG